ensembl:snoRNA
GCGGUGAUGACUAUUUUGGUUUUGAUCAGAAAUGAGGUGAAACUACACCACCAAACCUCUAAGAAGUUCUGAGCUC